UUUAAGAUGAGAGCGUCAACCAUGGAGUACUUUCUAGCACCGCUUUCACGAGAAAACCCUAGCACCACCAUUUCGAUCUGCACAUUGUCUCAUUCAAAUUCACCCCAAACCUACCAAUCAAACCCAAAGCUAAGCCCCGCAAACCAUCUCAAAUCCACAAAACGCGAAUCCCUUGUUCCACUAAACCAGACAAAGAAUCCCCCAAGGAGAAAGUUCUAGCAGAUUGGACAGGAGAAGGGAGCGGUGGCGAUGGAGCUUUGCGAAAAUGUAUGGAGUCGUAUUCCGAUUGUUGCGCGACGCUACUAGAGUCAACGACGACGCCAGUGGCGUAGUUGUUGAUAGAGAAGGAAAAGAAAAUCUUGAAGAAUUUGAAGUUAUGCCUCAACUAGUUCAUGCUCAAAUUUCUAAAGGCUGCUCAAUUUGGCAUAAAAGUAAGGUAUCCAGUAAAAUUUGUGAAAUAAUUUAGGCUCUAUUGGAGAUAUGGCUUGAUUUAAGUGGUCAGUUUUUAGGUAUUGCAGAACUUAAUAUUGAUCACAGUUGAUGUGGCUCUCUUGCUGCUUGAGCCUUUGAUUGCAUUCUAUAGAAUGGAUGAGUAAUACUAAAAGUUUUUUGAUUGAGAAGAUGUAUAUUAAGAUGGAGAUUGAAAAGUUAAAACUUUCAGAGAUGAUAUGCCGAGAAAGGGUUAUUCAGGUGGCCAAGUUGUGAGUUUAAUCUCUAAAUUAUGUUUGAUAUGAUGUUAUUGAGAGGGCCACAGAUGCUACAUUUUUUUGAUGUCUUAAUCUUUAGCAUAUGUUGAGGAUCUUAAGGGAUAUGAUGUUGUGAUGUAUAUCAGCACGAACGGCUCGGAUUUAGGAGAAGGAAGAUCCAAGUUGAGAGAUGAAGAGUAAGACCAACUAGAAGA